rnacentral:rRNA from 1 species
GAUGAACGCUGGCGGCGUGCCUAAUACAUGCAAGUCGAGCGAACAGACGAGGAGCUUGCUCCUCUGACGUUAGCGGCGGACGGGUGAGUAACACGUGGAUAACCUACCUAUAAGACUGGGAUAACUUCGGGAAACCGGAGCUAAUACCGGAUAAUAUAUUGAACCGCAUGGUUCAAUAGUGAAAGACGGUUUUGCUGUCACUUAUAGAUGGAUCCGCGCCGCAUUAGCUAGUUGGUAAGGUAACGGCUUACCAAGGCAACGAUGCGUAGCCGACCUGAGAGGGUGAUCGGCCACCCUGGAACUGAGACACGCUCCAGGCUCCUACGGGAGGCACCAGUAGGGAAUCUUCCGCAAUGGGCGAAAGCCUGACGGAGCAACGCCGCGUGAGUGAUGAAGGUCUUCGGAUCGUAAAACUCUGUUAUUAGGGAAGAACAAAUGUGUAAGUAACUAUGCACGUCUUGACGGUACCUAAUCAGAAAGCCACGGCUAACUACGUG